rnacentral:misc_RNA from 1 species
GAUGAAGAACGUAGCGAAAUGCGAUAAGUAAUGUGAAUUGCAGAAUUCAGUGAAUCAUCGAAUCUUUGAACGCACCUUGCGCCCUCUGGUAUUCCGGAGGGCAUGCCUGUUUGAGUGUCAUGUAGACUCAACCAUGUCGGGUUUCCGACCGGGUUGGACUUGGACGUUGCCGGCGACGGCUCGUCUUAAAAGAGUUAGCGGACAAAGUGACCGAACACGACGUGAUAAGUACUCGUCGCUAUUAGGACCUCUGAGCCCGCUCACAACCGCCCUUGGGCACCUUUUGACUCUGACCUCAAAUCAGGUAGGACUACCCGCUGAACUUAAGCAUAUCAAUAAGCGGAGGA